AACGAACGCUGGCGGCAUGCCUAACACAUGCAAGUCGAACGAAGCCUUCGGGCUUAGUGGCGCACGGGUGCGUAACGCGUGGGAAUCUGCCCUUGGGUUCGGAAUAACAGUUAGAAAUGACUGCUAAUACCGAAUGAUGUCUUCGGACCAAAGAUUUAUCGCCCAAGGAUGAGCCCGCGUCGGACUAGCUAGUUGGUGAGGUAAAGGCUCACCAAGGCGACGAUCCGUAGCUGGUCUGAGAGGAUGAUCAGCCACACUGGGACUGAGACACGGCCCAGACUCCUACGGGAGGCAGCAGUGGGGAAUAUUGGACAAUGGGCGAAAGCCUGAUCCAGCAAUGCCGCGUGAGUGAUGAAGGCCUUAGGGUUGUAAAGCUCUUUUACCCGGGAUGAUAAUGACAGUACCGGGAGAAUAAGCCCCGGCUAACUCCGUGCCAGCAGCCGCGGUAAU
rnacentral:rRNA from 1 species